rnacentral:ncRNA from 1 species
UGCUCCUCGGGGUGCUUGUUCCGCGUGUUCGAUACGCGGGCAGGCUGAGAUCAUACCCGUAUACCUGAUCCGGAUAAUGCCGGCGUAGGAAAU